UCGGGAAUAUUGCGCAAUGGAGGAAACUCUGACGCAGUGACGCCGCGUAUAGGAAGAAGGUUUUCGGAUUGUAAACUAUUGUCGUUAGGGAAGAAAAAAGACAGUACCUAAGGAGGAAGCUCCGGCUAACUACGUGCCAGCAGCCGCGGUAAUACGUAGGGAGCAAGCGUUAUCCGGAUUUAUUGGGUGUAAAGGGUGCGUAGACGGGUAAUCAAGUUAGUUGUGAAAUCCCUUGGCUUAACUGAGGAACUGCAACUAAAACUGGUUAUCUUGAGUACAGGAGAGGUAAGUGGAAUUCCUAGUGUAGCGGUGAAAUGCGUAGAUAUUAGGAGGAACACCAGUGGCGAAGGCGACUUACUGAACUGAAACUGACGUUGAGGCACGAAAGUGUGGGGAGCAAACA
rnacentral:rRNA from 1 species